ACAGCUUCUGAAAAACUUCUCUGAGAGACAGAUGACAAGUGCCUUCUGUCCUCUAUUCUUUAUUCGUUUUUGUACUUCACAUGCUGCCUAGGGCCACACCCUUUUGGUGGUGAGUGGGGAGCUGGAAGGAGCCAGGUUCUUGAGGACUUUAUAGGAGAAGAAAAGCAACUCGGAGAUAAGAAACUCCACACCCUUUUGAGGAGAGAACUUGACAUCUGAAUUUUCAUGUUUGUGUUCUUUGAACAAACAUCAUUAAAGCAUACCAAAUCUACACCCAGUAAAAGUUUUGGAUGAAGACAGACAAAAAUGUGAAUGGACUACAAUGGAAGAUGCACAGACAUAUAUUAACCAGCACAUCAGGAAAUAGAGUUCAACCAAGUUGGAAGGUCGGCCUUGGAAGACACUGAGUUCCUGACCCUGGAGGACAGGCUGUGUUCAUUCAGGACCUGGAGGUUUUCAAACUCUCUCAAUGCCCUGCUGCUGCAUUUGAACUGUAUACAAGUCCACUUCCUGUGUCUUUGAAGAGGAAAUUUCUCAUCUGCUAUCAAGGGUGUUGCUAAUAAUUUAAAGAUCGGGUUUUUUUUCUGCAUUUUAGUCUGGCACAUCUGGGACUCAAGUUUCAAGUGCUGAGUCUUGUAAGGACUGUUCUGCAGCCAAAAACCAGGAAAGGGGAAACAGAAGCAAAAAACCAAUCACAAGUGAAAAAACUCAGCCAGCCUAAUUAAAUAUUUGGAAUCAAAAAUUGUUGGCCACCUGGAAGGGGAAACACCCUUUUCAUCCUGUCAUUCAUUUCUUAGCUAAAUAAUGGGUUCAAUAUACAUAAUUCCAAAACCAAAAUUAGAAUUUUUGGAAGACGCCCCCAAUAUUUAGGCAUUUUAUCUCCUGACCAGUUUGUCUUGGAAGGUAUUCCAGGCCAGGAAAUUCUAAUGUAUUUCUCUAUGUUAAAAGACAUAUAGGAGAUUUUUAUUUAUUGGUCAAGGUGGAUACGUGGGAACACCUGCUUUAAAAUGCUCAAGACUGGGAUUAUGACUCUGAUCAAGUAAAACUCUAGAGCCUCAAGAUCUGUUGAAAUGGAGAAGAUAAAAACUGCUGGGUCCCUGCUUGCCCUUCCCCACCCAAAAUUUCUUGGCCCUGACCCUGAUCCUCCUCCCUCAGACCACCUGUAGAUGAAGGUGGAGUAGCCUUCCACUGAGACAUCAUGAGGCUCUCUGGCUGUCAUAAGGAGGGCAUCAACCGACUGUGGAAAUAUAGUUUUGUAUUUCAUCAGCAUCAUAGAAUAUCAUCUCAAACUCACUGAGGGCCAACAGUGUUUAUAGACUCAGUUAUGAAGAAUUCUGUUUUAAGGAGAAUUACCUGAAAGAGAUGUAAUCCUGAUACUUUAAAAUUUAUCUUUGGGUUUGUAGACCCUCAGCGAGCAGCCUACAUGGGCCACUCAGUUCUGGCUCCCCACUGACUUACUGAGCCCAGCUUUGGCAUUCUGCUAUUUGCACACUUGGGUGGGGGGUGGGGGGAGUAGAAAGCUGUGCCAAGAAAUGUGAUGUUGUACUUACUCUAAUUGUUAUAAAGUUUUGGUGCCGCAAAAGAAA
ensembl:lncRNA novel transcript